CGUUCUGUUUUAAAUGGCGUCCAAUGCUGCCAGCACAGUUCACUUCCUGCCUCCCUCCCAAAAUGCAGCAUCCAGUGGAGUCCUCCAGUGGCCUUGUGAGCUUACUGUACCGGGUGACUCCAGCCCCAGUGUUGUACCCAGGUUGAACAUCGGCCCAUCCUAGUAAACAGAUACUUUUGAGGCAUCUCCCAUUUGAAUGAGAUGCUUUCACCUGAGGCCCAUCCUUAGUGUCCUUGCUGAAGAAAAGGAUGCAGACUUGUUUCAUGUUAGAGCUCACAGUCUCAGCCAAGCUUGACUGACCAUCGCAAGAGAGGAUGUGCACACAGAAAAAUGGGCUGCUUUCACUCGGAUUGACAUCAGUUUCUGCUGGAUUGGAGGCAAAGUUUCCUUGCACCUGAGUUUUUGAAGCUUUUGCUAUCUUCUGUUACCAAUAAUGGGAACAUCAGUGCAUGCAAUUUGUAGCCAUGGCAGCUUCCUUCUAAGAGGGAUGUCGCUUGCCUUAUUCCAGACAAAUAAAUAUGGGGGAGCUGGAAAUAACGGUAUUAGAUGCUAGUUUCCGCUCAAUUUGAGCAGUAGUUAGUGUUGAACUGGGACUUGAGAGAUCUCAGCCCUUGCACAGUGUUGAGUUAUUUUUAGUUCUUAGAUAGGCUUUAAGUGUUAAUAUAUUUUGAAUGGUAUGCAUCUGUAUUGUAUUGUAUGUACUUAGGUAUUUUUUUUCUGGCAAAAGGGGUGCGGGGUAAAAAAAAAAAAAAAAGAUCUCAGCCCUGAAGAUUGCUGGGUGACUGGGCAGCCACAGGACUCAACCUAACCUACCUCACAGGGUUGUUGUAAGGAUAAAAUGGAGAAGAGGAUCAUGUAAGUUGGCUUAGGCUUCUUGGAGGAGGAUAUAAUUUUAACAAAUGAGUGCAGAACCAAUUACAGUAGUAGCAUAGGCUGUCAGUGACUUUUGUACCCCUUUCAGUGGGAGCGGGCAAGUGGGGAUUGCACAUCUUCUGGACGGGAAUAAUAAUACUCUGUUCGAUAUUUUAAAUAAAAGGCUACAGUAAGAA